AUGUUAACCGAUGUCCUCCAGGACCUGAAAACCACAGCUUCUAAGGAUGAAGAAACUGAGAGUCACCUGAGAGGGUUCCUGUGCGAGCAUUGGAUCCAUCCCUUCUGUCAGGUGAGUCUGUGUGUCUUUGCUUUGGACCCAGGAGACCUAGGGUUGCCUCUGGUUCUGUCCUUGAGUGUUUCUGCUGUCUUCAUAUUACCUAAGUAAUCUCUAACUACCAGAUUUGUUGCUAUUAGAUAUGAUAAUGAAUGCAAAAUCCCCCCCUUUUUUUCUUGAGACAGGGUCUUGCAGUGUCACCCAGGCUGGAGUGCGGUGGUGCCAUCACAGCUCACUACAGCCUCGAAUUCCUGGAGUGAAGUGAUUUUCCUGCCUCAGCCUCCUGAGUAGCUGGGGUUACAGGCGUGCACCACCACAUCUAGCUAAUUUUUUAGAGGAGUCUCACUAUGUUGCCAGGCUGGUCUAGUUCUUGGGCUUAAGUCAUCCUCCUGCAUCCCAAAGUGCUAGGAUAACAGAUGUAAACCAUGUGCCUGGCCCAAAGCACCUCUUGAGUGCUCAACACACUUUUUUUUCUGCUUCACCUGACCUCUUGUCUGUUUAGGGUUUUCAUGGCUGCCAGAUUUUGCUUUGUGUUGCUAGAGGACUGUUAAAUAGGAAUUUGUCUUAAAUCUCUUUAUGUUCCCAUAUAUAUCCCCGCUGUAAAUAUUUAUCACUCCUCCAUCUCAAGUGCGACAUGGUCAAAGCCCCAUAAACUGCAUACCUCGACCAUGCCUUGGCUUUCUGUGGAAACUGCUCUCUGUGACCCUGAUGUGACAGGCAAGCAGUCCAAACCCACGCCAUCUUGGUCCUUGUGACUUGUAAUAAGUGACUAAUGUCUGUAAUUUCCACCCUACCCAGACAAUGUGUAAACUAACACUUAUCUUGACUUCUGUGAACCACUUAAGAAACAAUCGGAAUGUGAAAACCCCUCACCCUCAUUUCCAGGAGGUGAUUUACCGAAUAUCCAAAGUCCACUGGCCCUGGAAAUGUCUGAAGCCCCUCACCCCCACCCCUGCCCCUCACCCUCACCCUCGGGGUGGUUUACGGGUAUAAAAGGUCUUGACACCCUCCUUUUGGGGCCAUGGGUUGGAGAGACUCGAGUCCUCCGUGGCCGCUGGCAAUAAACACCCUGCAUUUUGGCAUACUUUUGUUUUGGUGUUGACUUUCUAUGCUCUCUCCAGUACAACAUAAGAAGGUAAUGGAGCUGUGGUGAUCUGUUGGCUCAGCGACUUUUUGGUUACAGAAUAAAAACUCAAAGUUACCAGAUAUCCCAAAGACAACUCAUCUUGUGUUUCUUUUGUUUAAAAAAUCUUAGGCUGAUUCAGAGAAGCGAGUUGACUGUUGUGCUUUGUUUUUGGGGAAUGACUGUGGUGAGUUGGAAGGGGCAGGUUAUUCUAGGGAGAAAGAGAAGAAGCCUAAGCAGAGAGAAUGCUUGGGAGAUUAGCCCAAGACCAAGAAGUAGAACAGGGAGUUGUGGAUCCCUGGGAUAAAAGCCCACAGAUCACAGCUGUAGGUGACGACGAGACCUCAUACAGGGAAUGAAAAUGAACACUAUGGGAGGGAAAGCACAAGUGAAAGAGAGGUGAAGGGAUCAACAAGAUGACCUCUGAAGACUCUUUCUUCACCAUUAAUUAUUAGACUUUAAGUGGCCAGGCAUGGUGGCUCAUGCUUGUGAUCCCAUUACUUUGGGAGGCCAAGUGGGAUGAUCACUUGAAGCCAGGAGUUGGAGACCAGCGUGGGCUACAUAGUGAGACUUUGUCUAUGAAAAAUAAAUAACUGGUGUGGUGGUGGGCACCUGGAGUCCCAGCUACUCAGAAGGCUGAGGUGGAAGGAUCACUUGAGCCCAGGAAUUGGAGGCUGCGGUGAGCUAUGAUUCUGUUAUUCAUUAUACUCCAGCCUGGGUGACAGAGCAAGACCCUGUCUCUAAAAAUUAAAAUAAAAAGUUUGUGCGUGCUGUCUUCCUCUCAAGCAAGGAAGUCUUUUUCUUUUCUUGCUGGUAAACUGUACUCCUGGCACCUAGAACUAUAGUGCGUGGCAAAUAGUAGGCACCAAGUAAAUAUGUAUUUAAUGACUGAUUAUGAAAUGAUCAGCGUUAAUGACCUGAAAAAGGGAAGUUCAAGACGGGUAAAAGGAGAGGUCAGGAUGACUGAGGUUUCCUAAGUGGGGAAGUGGGAGAAAACGCAUUAUCACCAAUAUAACUUAAAUGGCUGGUUGAGCUGGAAGCCUCAAGGGUUUGGCUUUACGUUGGGAACUGAUAAACACAUACUGAAUUCAAUGUUCAGCAGGCAAUUGGAGAUACAAGACUAAGACUUAAGAAAGUAGUCAGAGGCUGGGUGCGGGGCCUCAUGCCUAUAAUCCAGGCACUUUGGGAGGCCAAGGCGGGUGGAUCACAAGGUCAAGAGAUCGAGACUAUCCUGGUCAACAUGGUGAAACCCCGUCUCUACUAAAAAUACAAAAAUUAGCUGGGUGUGGUGGCGCGUGCCUUAGUCCCAGCUACUCAGGAGGCUGAGGCAGGAGAAUUCCUUGAACCCAGGAGGCGGAGGUUGCAGUGAGCCGAGAUCGUGUCAUUGCAGUCCAGCCUGGGUAACAAGAGUGAAACUCCAUCUCAAAAAAAAAAAAAGAAAGUAGUCAGAACUAGGAAUAGAAGACUCACUAGUCCCUCAAUGGAAGUUGGCAAAUGAAUCCUUGAGAGAUCUCAGAUACAGAAUAAGUGUUGGAGGUGGGUGGUACUGAACUGUGAGGGACAUGCACCUUUUCUGAAGUGAUGUUCAAAUGAACCUAUGACUAAUCCUGGGGUUAAGUAAAAUUUAGAGACAACUUCCAAAUCUUCAGUAUUGGUGUGUUGUUUUCCAGCCUGUGGAUUGGAGUUUUGUCUGAGACAUUGUCAGUAAGAAGGACUCUUUACUAUACAGGGUCCAGGAAGAUUCAAAAUAUUCAACUUUGUAAUCUAUAACCUGUAAAAUCUUUUAUCAGUUAUACAAAAUAUUGUAGGUCCAAAGUCUGGCACACAUUUGAUUUGGUUACAAUGCAUUAAUUUAUUCUGCAAUAAGCACAGACAUAGAAUUAAAUUGUUUACAUCCUUCCCUUUCUCCAAAGAGCACAAAUUAUAUGUGCUCUUUUUUAGUGCCUUAGACAAGAAUUCAUAAGAUCCUUCAUUUUGGGGGACAAUAAAAAAUGAUAAUGAUGAUGGAAGUUAUCAGUAUUUACUACUUUUGAAGCACUGCAGAUAGCUGUUUGGAUGGUCAGUAUAUCACCAUACGGUUAACAUACUUGUCACAAGUAAUAGUCACUGUCAUUAAUGAACAGGAUUUGGAAAACUUUUGCCAACAUGGCACUUUUGAGUACAAAAAAUAAAAGUUUUACAAGAAGAUACAGUAAAAACAGAAACUGUAGUGAAACAGAUUAGUAGUUUACAUCACCGGGAAAAAAAGAGCCAAUUUUAAUCCUUCUUCUACUUCAGAUGUUCACAAGUCUUAGUUUGGGUAGCUACAAAGAAGCACCAUAGACUUUGGGUGGCUUGGAAACACUAGAUAUUUAUUUCUCAGUUCUGGAGGCUGGAAGUCUGAGAUCACGGUUGAACUCUGCUGAGGAUCCUCUUUGAGGCGGCAGACUGUCACCUUCCUGUGGCAUCCCCACAUGAUAGAAAGAGUGUGUAAAGAGAUCUUUGGGUCCUCUUUA
rnacentral:lncRNA from 1 species